rnacentral:lncRNA from 1 species
AGCCGCCACACCAUUUUUUCCCUCACCUUUCUCUCGUUUUCUCUCCGUCCAAACAUCCUUUCCUGCAGUUCUCUUCCUUUUCUUUUAUUUUUAUCUUCCUAUUUCCUUCUCUCUCCAUCUCCAUGGAAAGCCACCAUGGCCCUCAGUUCCUCUAUCUGCAUCGCCACACUGCCGUCGGAACCGCCAUCUCCACGUUACAACGCCGCCGCACUCCUCACCGUUGAGUCACUGCCUUCAUCCCUCCAUGGGACUGCCCUGGACCGGCCACCGUUCACCGCCCCGUCGCUUCGCGGCGCUGCGGCCACUGCCCACAGGUAUCCGUACUCGGUCCAUCCUCUUAGUUGCCCCUAUGGUCAUGGUUCUCACCAUCCCCAGCUCCCGUGGUCACCACGCCGCCGGAGUGACGCCAGAAACGUCAACCUCCACACGGACCACCGGUGACACCCACUGUCUCCAUCCCUUUCCAAGUCUCCUUCACAAACGACGGCAACACCUUCACCACCACAGGACCAUAAUCGCGUGGACAUCACCGCCACGACACCACUUCCACAACACGACGGGCCACCGCCGCCACAACAGUACCUCAUCAUCACCACG